rnacentral:lncRNA from 1 species
CUUGAUUUCGUUUCGCUGUUUACCGUGUCGGUUUUUCAAUUGUCUUACAAUUCAAUUAUACGUUGAAACGUCUCUUAAGCUUAAUUAAAGACAUUUCACAUUAAACCCGGAUUUAUAUAAAACACCAGGUAAGUAAUUAAUAUACAUUUCGGUUAAGUCGAAAUCUCCGAAUGCCUUGCCCUUUUAUGUGUACGAAAUAUACCGUAAUUAAUUGAGUUUAAUUGAUUAUAGCAGUCACAUAAAAAUGAUAAUUAAUUAGUGAACUCAGGUGAAUGUCGCAAACCGUUUCUGCGUGGUCCCUUUCGCUUUGUAUCGACGAUCGUUGUCUACGUGUAUAUUGGGGUAAAUCUGGACAAGUGCACCCGAAAGAUAUGCCUCUGUUUAUACGUUAUAUAGGAAAACAGAAAUUCACUUAUAAUGAUAGAAAAACCAAAAAGAUUACUGUACUCUGUCGUUCUGUUUAACCACACAAAGAACCGACAACCUUGUGGUUAGUGAUACGAGAACAAUGAUACAGUGGAACGGUGCCAAGGGGACAGGAUUAGGGAGUUGGAGGCAAGCAUCUUGCAUGAAGCGGAAAUGUGAGGAAGUGGAGUGAUAUAGAGAUGUAGCUUGGUUUGGUGUGGUAAAGUGUGUGAGAAGUUUUCUUGUUAAAAGUGGGUGAAACACACUGCUUCUAGAACUCAGUUGCACAUUUACGUGGGUACUACUAGCGAACAGUGGUCCCGGUGCGCGCACUCGCGCAUCUACGCUAGCUAGUCGUAAGUAGUCGAUCCAAGAACGACUUUUUAACCCUAUCCUUAGUCUGUUUAAAAUGUUAGAUAAUAUCUGAAGGUGGAGGAGCCGAUGCCUAUGAAUAUGUAGACAUUACCUCAAGGUUGUAGAAUAUAAUUUUAAUAACAAAAUAGAAAGUAACUCAUGAGGUAAAAAUUUAUAUCCACAGUUUAUCCUUAUAAAAACAUACUAACAUUUCUAUUAUUGAAUCUCUCCUUUUAAACUAUUUUCUUUAUUAUAUAUUGUUUCUAUAUCAUUUCAGAACAUCAGACGUCUGUGGCAUGAACGGAUUUCUACUGGAGUAACAUCAAGAAUAUUAAUAAUCUUUGAAAGACUGAAGGAAGAUGUGAUAAAUAAU